rnacentral:rRNA from 1 species
UACGUAGGGGGCAAGCGUUGUCCGGAAUCAUUGGGCGUAAAGAGCGUGUAGGCGGCCUGAUAAGUCGGCUGUGAAAGUCAAGGGCUCAACCCUUGAAUGCCGGCCGAUACUGUCGGGCUAGAACCCGGAAGAGGCGAGUGGAAUUCCUGGUGUAGCGGUGAAAUGCGCAGAUAUCAGGAGGAACACCUAUGGCGAAGGCAGCUCGCUGGGACGGUAUUGACGCUGAGACGCGAAAGCGUGGGGAGCGAACAGG